GACUCGGAGUCUCCGCAGACCGCGAGGAUGGCGGUCCCGGCGCCCCGAGCCCCGCUCCUGCUGCUGUGGGGCGCCCUGGCCCUGACGGAGACCCGGGCGGGCUCCCACUCCCUGAGGUAUUUCGACACCGCCGUGUCCCGGCCCGGCCGCGGGGAGCCCCGGUACAUCUCCGUCGGCUACGUGGACGGCACGCAGUUCGUGCGGUUCGACAGCGACGCGGCGAGUCCGAGGAUGGAGCCGCGGGCGCCGUGGGUGGAGCGGGAGGGGCCGGAGUAUUGGGACGAGCAGACUCUCAGAGCCAAGGGAAACGCGCAGACUGACCAAGUGAACCUGCGGACCCUGCGCGGCUACUACAACCAGAGCGACGCCGGUGAGUGACCCCGGGCUCCGGUCACAGAUCACGACCCCUCCCUGACCCCACAGAGUACCCCGCGUCGCCCCGAGUCCGCAGGUCGGAGAGUCAACCCAAGCCUUGGGACCCGCCAAGACCUUUCAUCGCGCGGGGACUUUCACCCGGUUUCAUUUUCGGUUUAGGCCAAAAUCCCCGCGGGUGGGGGCGGGGCUGAGUGGGCGUGGCUGACGGCGGGGGCGGGGCCAGGCUUUCACACCAUCCAGUGGAUGUUUGGCUGCGACAUUGGGCUGGACGGUCGCCUCCUCCGCGGGUACCAUCAGUAUGCCUACGACGGCGCCGACUACCUCGCCCUGAACGAGGACCUGCGCUCCUGGACCGCGGCGGACACGGCGGCUCAGAUCUCCAAGCGCAAGUUCCAGGCGGCCGGUGUGGCGGAGCACGAAAGGGCCUACCUGGAGGGAACGUGCGUGGACUGGCUCCGCCGACACCUGGAGCACGGGAAGGACACGCUGCUGCGCGCGGAACCCCCAAGGACACACGUGACCCACCACCCCAGCUCUGAGCGUGAGGCCACCCUGAGGUGCUGGGCCCUGGGCUUCUACCCUGCGGAGAUCACACUCACCUGGCAGCGGGAUGGGCAGGACCAGACACAGGACACGGAGUUUGUGGAGACCAGGCCUGCAGGGGACGGAACUUUCCAGAAAUGGGCAGCUGUGGUGGUGCCUCCAGGAGAGGAGCAGAGAUACACGUACCAUGUGCAGCACCAGGGUCUGCUGGAGCCCCUCACCCUGAGAUGGGAGCCGCCUUCCCAGCCCAGCAUCCCCAUGGUGGGCAUCGUUGCUGGCCUGGUUGUCCUUGGAGCUGUGCUCAUUGGAGCUGUGGUCGCUGCUGUGAUGUGGAGGAAGAAGAGCUCAGGUAGGAAGGGAUGGGGGAGGCGUUGGUGCUUUCUUGUCCCACUGGGGGUUUCACGCCCAGGCAGAAGUGUGCCCUGCCUCACUCAGGGGCCCUGUUUGCUCACACUUGCUCUAUUGGAAAGGACAUGGAAUGUGCAGAACAAAUCCAUCACCUUGAUGAUUGUGGGAAUAGCACCUGAAUCCCCAGGGGUCACAGAUCAUCAGUCACAGUUCUGA